GUUUCCAACCUCAGCUGCAGCCCAGUGAGAAGGAGAGAACUUAACUCAAACCUAUGGACUGGCUUACAGAAGCCCCCUCCACCUAUCGUCAGCCCUGCACCUGCUCUGAGGAGCCCAAGGAGAAAUGAGAGACAGCAGGGCAAGAGGGGAAGGGAAUCACGAGGCUCAAGAAAGGCACCUGCCAGGCAAAGAAUUAAAAUGCUAUGCAAUGGAUGGGGAAAAUGGAAGAAAUUGAGAGAGAAGUCCUGAGAAGGUAGAAGAUUUCAGAGGAAUCAAGCCAGAGACAAUCAUGAAGCCAGGUCCUGCGGAACUAACAGAAGAGACUUGCAGUGCAGAAAAUAAAGAGAAUGGAAGAUGAAAAAAAAAAAGAGAGAUUUCUUUACAUUGUGUUAAAGGAAAAGACUCUCCCUUAAAAUGAGGGGUAGAGACCCCUUAAAAAAUAAAAAAAACCCAGACAAACCAAGAAAGUCCCCAUUGGAAAUUAAUGAAUUUAAUAUGACUAUAAGGGAAAACAGCACUGGACCAUAAGAUAUUUUUUAGACUGUGGUUAAAAUAUUUCCUUUCUGCAUGCAUUUUGUUCUCCAAUGAUCAGGCUCUUAAAUAUAUCUCUAGAAAAGAAGUACUUUCUACAAAGUAUCCUCUUCAUAACUGCCAUUCAGAACACCAACUGCCUAUUAUGACACAGCAACCAAGAAACAUUUGGGCUUGUAUUGGGGACAAUCAACUUGUGACUUCCUGCUAGACUUUCUCAAUUCACAUGAUGAUGAAAUGGCUAGUGUUGCAAUGCACUUAUGGCUUUAGAUAAAAACAUAGGCACCCAAGACAGAAGUGCCAAAGAGGGCAGCACCCAGCAGGAAGUUGUUCCUACAAAGGAAAUUGCAGUUUCUAAGAUGAAGAGGAAGUCAAGAGGGAGAAUUAAGUGUCUUAAGGGCUUGAGAAAAUAUUGAAGAAACUACUUGUGGUCUCAAAUACAGUUAAAACACUAAGUAGUCCACGCUAUCAUUAAUUAUAAAUUCAAAACUUUAACAAUGCAAUUUGGGGUAAAGCUAGUCAACAAAAGGUAAAUCAUGUCUGUGUAAUCUUUGUUGUUAGAAGCUGCCUCUCUUACUCCUUGCAGAAACCUUUUCUGAAAAAAUACCUGAUAAUGACACCAACUGAAAGGGACAGAGAGGAAGAACACUCUCACUCACCUGCUCCUGCACAAUGUGAGAAUCUUAGUCACAUUUCUCUUCAUUUUAUGAUAUCCUGCAAUGUCCUCUUCAUAUACAAACCCACUCCCCAAUAAGCUUCUAGUUUCUAUAAAUAAAUGGCUACCUUCUAAAGUUUGUUCGUUCUCAUGUGCCUAUGAAACACAUACUGGACACAGAGACACAUUACCAGUCAUUUAUCUGGCAUCAUAGCAGUUUACUACAACUUUCCUAAGUUCUAACAAACCUCUGAUAGAAGCUGUUUCCAGCCCUUUCAUCUCUAGACAUUUCAACCAUAUGGGGACUUCGUAUCUCACCUACUUAUUUCCCUUUUCAGUUUUUAAAAAUCGUGGCCAGAAUUCUUUGAUGCUAAUAAACAUUCACAGAACAGACCUUUUCCAUCUUUAAACAGGAAACUGAAUAUUGCAUGUAUGUUUUACACUCAAUAGGCUGUAUAAAGUUAUCAGUGAUAU